AGACAUAACCGUAUCCGGCAGGCAUGUCUUUGACAUGACACUCGUUCAAGGAAAAGGAGCCCUUAUUCAAGAGGCUAAGCUUCAGAAUCCUUCUCAAUGUAGUGCUCCAGAGAGUUGGCCUGUAAGUAAAUAGGUACGAAGAACCUACCAUGUUCCAGCUACUGGAAACAAGGAGUUAGCAAGAAGUAGCACUGGUGGGGAACAGCAGACACUCAAUUCACAGGAAUGGUAAAUGGGACAAAUUUCAUCCUUGGCUCUAUUCUUAGCUUCUUGACCACACAGACUCUAUUCUGGAGCUGGGGACAGAAGAGAAGCAGAGAAGAAGUGGAAAGUGGAAAUAGAAGUGACUUAAGGAGACAGAGGAGGUAAGGGAAAUUCCCAGCCUUAGUAUGGAAGGAAGAACUGUUCCCAUUAUUGGGUCGCUUGUGCAUAACUUGAGACUCUGGCUUGAGGCCUGAUGGUACAGGAAAGGCAGCACCAGGCAAGCUAAAGGGGGAAGUUAGCCCAGACCUGGACCUGGGCCAGCACUGCAGGAUGGAGUCAAAGGCCAGACUGGGGCGAGGCCCUGCAGGCCCUGGACAGGACAUGCUCAUUCAUGAGUGAAGCACCAGGGGCUUCCAGUCUGGCAAGUGUACUCAGCGAAAGGGAAU